GGCUUUGUAGCUCAGCAGGUAGAGCGCUUGCCACGUUGAGUCAUGCUCUUUGUGUUGCUGGUUCGAAUCCAGCCGAAGCCC